UUAGUACUCACUCCGUCCGAAAUUACUUGUCGCAUAAAUGGAUGAAAACGGAUGUAUCUAGAAUUAAAAUACAUCUAGAUACAAUCAUUUCCCCACAAGUAUUUUUGGACGAAGAGAGUAGGAA
rfam:Triticum aestivum genome assembly, contig: Triticum_aestivum_CS42_TGACv1_scaffold_080804_1DS